rnacentral:lncRNA from 1 species
GUUAUAAACGGGAAAUGACAUCACAUUUGAGCGUCUGUUGUCUGUUUCUGCAGUACGUUCUGGAGAUAUGAAAUCCAGGCUUAAAUGUCUUCUGUUUUUAACCAGUUGAAAACCAUUUUCAAUUACUUAACUAACCUGAAAAAUUUCGUGAAAAUCUAAUAAAUAGUCUAGAAUAUAUUAAAAGAGUUUCUGAGAAGUUUGAAUGCUUGUUAUCUUUAAAACGGUUGAAACUAAAAGGCUAAAUAAGGAAGCGUCAAAGUUGCUUUUCAUGGCAGACUAUCACUACGAAAUUUCAUUAAAAUAUGUUAAUUAGAUAAAAGUUUUUAGUGGGGAUGUGCAGAUGAUAUUCAUUAUUUUAUAUUAUCCUGCUAUUGAACAUAAAUGUUAAUUGCGGCCAUCAGAUCAACUAACUGCAUCAUCAGCCAUUUUUUUUUUUUUUUGAUAGGCUGCAAUAUUUAAUAAUACGUAUAGUGCAAACAUCUAUUAUGUUCACAAUAUCCCUUUUAGACAUACUAACUCGACUUCUACUGGACAGAUUUUUCGCGAAACUCGCGUUUGAAUUCUUUGCAGAAAGCUAUCGAGCAAAUUUAAUUUUGAUCCAUAUUAGAUUUAUUUAUAACGAUCUUUGAGCUGGAAAUGCGAUUCUGAGCAUUUGUAUUCCUGGUACCUAAAGAAGGAAACUCGCACGCGAUGCAUGCUGGGAAUUACUGUUAUGUCACGUGAUUCUAAUACGAUGUCGACGUAUAACGGUGGUGUCAUAAAAUAUUGCGUCACAAUAACAUCAGGAACGGCGUCAUAAAAUGACAAUAGAAACGUCACGUUAACGUGUGGAUGAAUGACGUAAUGAUUUUGAAGAAUAUAAAACCAAUAAAUAGAGUUACGAAGAAAAUAUUUUGAACUUGUUUCAGUAUUUGCAUGCAUUGUUGUAAUUCAAACAGUAUCCUUUCAAUGCACAAUUCCGCCCUACAGCUGUCAUGCAUAUUUUGAACAUGCACGACAGCUGUGUGUGAUAAUAACGUCCAAAAACAAGAUCAAUUCAUAACUUAGAAUCUAAAACCAAUAUUAUUAAUAUCAAGAUUAUUAAUAUUUGGCAUAUCUAUCAAGAAAAUUAUAAGACAAAAAAAAACAGUUAAAUGUCAUUUUUUGAUAGGCUCAUGAUGUUUAAUAAUACAAUAUUUGUAUAUACAAUAAAACACAGUAAAACAUUAUUGUGAACGAUUUUAUUGAUAAUAAUAAUUCGAAAUAUUGCACUUGGAUUGAGAUAAUGAUAAAAAUGUCAGUAACGUCAACAAGAGAUCAUUUAUAAGCGUUCACCACACCUCAACAGAACCGACAUCAAAUAUGACAAAUCAAUGUUGCAGUUGUAUGUGAGAUUUUGCAUAAUACAACAUGUAUUAUACAAUCUGAGUGUGUACUACACAUGUAUUGAUAAAUUUGAUACACAGGAUGAUAAGCGUCAUUCGGGAAUGGCAGUAAAUCUACCUUUUUUUUUUUUUUUUUUAAAAAAAAAAAUACCAGAUCCUUAUCAAUCUUGUGUUUUGAUUUGCAAUUUAUUUUUCGCUAUAUAUAUAUAUACAAUUGAUUUAAUAUAAAUUCAUCUUAACAAAUAGAAUAAUUUAAAAAAAAAAAAAUCAGUUAUAUUAAAAAAUAUUACAUUGUAACGAUAGUUUAAUUUUUCUCUCUUAAAU